CCGCGUUGAGGAGUAUUUAGUCAUUCUUGUGGAUUUUGAGGAGGAUAUCAUCCACCGGUUGGGACUCUAUUCCGAAGAAAUAUGUGAGUCACACCUAAGGAACUAUAUCUGCAUUGUGUGUCUGUUGAACAGAAAUUCGCCCGAUCCUGCUCAGGAGAGCCAAGGUGAGGGUUACAGCAAGUCCAUGAUCCAGGCCCUGUCAGCCGUGUGUGUUCGCACUCCUCAUUAUGGCACCAGGACCAAUACAAUUAUCCUGAUCGAUGCAGAGGGGAACGUGACCUUCACAGAGCGCACCAUGCUCAAUUGUGAUACAAACAACUGGUGCACAAAUUCUUUCCAAUUCAAGCUGCAGACAUGAAGAUGUAAUGAAAGAAACUCACUUUGUGCCUAAUAGAUUCUACUUCUUGCAUUAUCAUCACCAAAUCAUCAUUUUGUAUUAAAGCUUCCUGUCACCAUAGCAACUAAUUGUAGCGUUUUGGACUCAACCCAGCAGCAGCUACUACCACAAUUAUUCCGUUUUUAUUUUUGACUAAGGUGUAAAUUAUAUCUGAAGAUUAUUUAAUGUUUUUUUUUUUUUGAUUAAAAUGAUUUUAAACAUUGGAAAUGUGUUGCAGUGUCAACUGCUGCCAGCAGCAAUCAGUUAAUCAGUCAUGUAACAUUUCAAAGACGUAACUCCAUUUUUCUUUUACCGGUAAAUCCAAUUUCAUUGUCCUUUGAGUUAUCUGCGAUUUAUACAUCUGUUGAGAGAUAAAGGAAAGCAGUUUAUCA